CAAAGAAAGGAAAAAGGGAGGGACUGAGGAAAAAGAAUAGAGGGAGAAGAGUUUUCAUAUAUGUGGGAGAAGCCGUGUCAGUUAAUGGACUGGGAGACCCAGAACUUUGUUCCUUCACUAAAAGAAACAUUUGAAAUCAGCUCUUCACAAUUGCUGUGCUUUCUGAGGAAGACAGUGGUGUCAUCAAUGUUAGAUUCACAGAUGGCUGCACUGCGCAAAGAUGGGAGCAGACAUGACAAUGGAUUUAUAUUGAUAGCUUGUGAUCAAUAAGGACAAUAUCAGAGGGGUGACAUUUAAGGGACGUAAAGCCAGGCUUGUGAGAGUGCCGAUAUGACUACAUAUUAACUUCAUGGCAUCUCCACAGCCUCUUAACCCUCCUGAAAAAGAGUCCAUGGUCACUUCUGUGACUCAGAAGGCCCAGGAGGAGGAAGAAGAUGAUGAUGAAGAUGAGGAAACUGGCGAGAAGUUUGAGUUUGAUGACAGCGAAGAUGAGCAGAAAACAGUGGAGAACUCUGUUGAGAAUAAAGAGUCAGGAACUCCUCAUGUGGAAGCUGAGCAUUCAGAAAAUACUAAUGGUAGCACUGCCAUAAAUGCACUUUAUUGUCAAGCUAUGAAGCGUAAUCAGCAGGCGGUAAACGGAGGGAGCCCUGCUGGUCUGGAGGACCAAAAUAUCCCCACACAUCCUCACACAACAAACUCAGAGAUGGUGGCCAGACAAUCUCCUGAUGGGUGUUCUGUCUCGACGGAGCCUAGAGUAGCUGAUGAACAAGCAAGCCUUUGGAAAAGAAAUAACAUUUAUGAAGCCCCAGUGCACUCUCGGGAAUGGUUCAGUGUGGUUUCAGAGCUCACUCUGCGACUGCAUAAAGGGAAAGCCAUUCCUGAAUCAGAGGAAAAUUCACCCUCUGAACAACUGAAACAGAACUCAGCUCCUCCUGCUCGCUCAGAGGUCAUCUACGAUGAUGUGCCUUGUGAGAACAUCACGCCACCAGAUGCAGAGGAUGAUGUGAUCUACGAGGAGGUGCAGAGGUCUGGUGAGUCUGGACUGAUAGACAACGGCUGGGGCUCCAGUGAGUUUGAGAGUUACGACGAGCAGUCAGAUAGUGAGACGAAGCAGCCCACCCGCAAUAAGAUUUCCCCAGAUGUACGACGUCUAAAGCAACGAUGUGUCCAGACCAGGCGUGAGCUAGCCAUGCGGUUAGGGGCUCGAGAUGUCGGCCAACUCAAACAAAACUAUGACAUUAAGGUUCAACAGCUCAUGAAAGCAGCUAGGAAUGGCACGAAAGAUGGACUGGAAAAGACCAAAAUAGCCAUGAUGCGAAAAGUGUCCUUCCUGAGUAAAAAAGACUGCACAGAUGACACAGAGGAAGAUUCUGGAUAUCUGGAUGUGACUGUAUCUGAACUCAAACAUCCACCACCUCAACUUUCUCCGAUGCCAGAAGGGCUCAGUAGCCAACAGGUUGUCAGGCGUCAUAUUCUUAGCUCUAUCAUCCAGAGUGAAAGAAGCUACUUAGACUCUCUCAAGAGGAUCCUGCUGGAAUAUAAGAAGCCUUUGAUGGAGGCGGAGCCGCGGAUCCUGAGCUUGAAGAAGAUCCAGCCUGUUUUUUAUAGACUGAAGGAGAUCCUGCAGUGUCACUCCAUGUUUCAGAUUGCUCUGGCCUCCCGUGUAGCAGAAUGGGAUCAUACUGAGAAAAUCGGAGACCUUUUUGUUGCUUCAUUUUCCAAAUCGAUGGUGCUAGAUGUGUACAGCGACUAUGUCAACAACUUCACCAAUGCUAUGGCUCUUAUUAAGAAAGCUUGUAUGUCCAAGCCAGCAUUCCUGGAGUUUCUCAAGAAGAAGCAGGCUGCCAGUACAGACAGAAUCACUCUUUAUGGCCUGAUGGUCAAACCAAUUCAGCGCUUUCCUCAGUUCAUACUCCUACUGCAGGACAUGCUGAAAAACACCCCUGUGGGGCAUCAGGACAGACUGCCGCUGCAGCUGGCCCUCACUGAGCUCGAGACUCUCGCCGAGAAACUGAACGAGCAGAAACGGCUGGCCGAGCAGCUCGCUGAAAUCCAUCAGCUCACUCGCAGCGUCAGUGACCGUAACCUCAGUAAGCAACUGAACUCUGAUCAGAAGCAGUUGAUUCUGUCUGAGACACUUAUUGAGACCGUCUUUGGCGAGAAAGGUCAAGUCCUCAAGUCUAAGGAGCGCAAAGUCUUCCUCCUGAAUGACAUGCUCGUCUGUGCAAACAUCAAUGUGAAGGGCCCACCAGAUAUCAGCAGCCUAGUCCCCAUCGGUCCAAAAUACGCAGUUAAAUGGAGUGCCCCCCUGCUGCAAGUGCAAGUGGUGGAGGUGGGCCAGGAGACCCCCCAGCAUAAAGACAGCGUCUACCAGCAGAGUGGAAGCAAGCGCCUGAGCUCCACCAACUCUCAAGGAAAGCUGUUUCUGGGACCACCGCGGCUAUAUCAGGAACUGCAGGAGUUACAGCAUGAUCUUUCUGUGGUGGAGGAAGUCACGUUGUUAGUGGGCACCAUGCAGGGAUCGUACCAGAAUCUCAACACUACGGUGGGGCAGGACUGGUGCAUGGCUCUUCAGAGGCUCAUCCGCAUCAAAGAGGACGAGAUCCAGUGUGCCAACAAGUGCCGUCUACGGCUGAUGGUUCCUGGGAAGCCUGACAAGUCUGGACGUCCAGUCAGUUUCACAGUGGUCUUUAGUACGCCCAGUCCAAUUAGCAAAAUCUCCUGGGUCAAUCGCCUGCAUCUGGCCAAAAUCGCCCUGAGAGAGGAGAACUUGCCUGGCUGGGUGUGUGUAGAGGAUGAUGAAAAGACUAAGCCUCCAUUCUGGUGCCCGUUACUGGCCUGCCGGUUGCCUGUGUUUACCCCAAAAAUGCAAGAUCUGAAGUUGCAGGCUGCCCUGUAUAACCCGGUCCACUGUUCUCUUCUUGGUUUUUCGGCCGCUAGCACAUCCUUGCCUCAGGGCUACCUCUGGGUGGCUAGUGGGGGUGACGACUCUCACGGGCAGGUGGAGAUUUUCUCCCUUAACAGACCCACUCCACGCUCCGUUAAGAGUUUCUCUCUAGGUUCCCCAGUGCUUUGUCUGGAGUAUAUCACAGAGCCCAGCACUGAUGAAGAACUGGAAACACAAACCUCUGAAAUUCAUUCCAAGAUUGGUAACACCAUCUGUGUAGGAUUAUUGGAUGGCAACAUCCUGGUUUAUGGAAGCGUGGACACCGCUGCUCAGUGUCUGCUAACAUUUUGUAACCCAGAGUGCUGCCCAGUUCUGUGCCUAAAACAAUCUACAAACUUUCUCUUCGCUGGACUGAGUAAUGGAAAAGUCGCUGUUUAUAACCGAAAGAGUGGAGAGGGGUUGUGGGAUCCAGAUUCCUGCAGACAUGUGGUUAUUGGAUGCGCUCCCGUACUCAAACUCCUCCAAAUAGACGAGUGUGUGUGGGCCAGCUGUGCCAACCAGGUCUCUGUGAUUGAAGGCUCCUCUCUCACGACUCAGAGUUUUGAAGUUCAUCCAAACCCCAUGGUUGGUGUGACCCACAUGGUGCGCGCCGGAGGAGGGGUGUGGAUGGCGUUUUCAGAGGGAUCAUCCCUACGUCUGUUUCACACAGAAACAUUGGAACACCUCCAAGAGAUCAACAUUUCAACACCCUCUGCAUAUUUGAGCCCUGGCAAGUCCAAUAUGUGAUUAUGCUGCAUGAUAUGAAUUCUGUAGGAUAAUGUUUUGGCACACAGGUCCUCAAAGGGGCAGGAGUGGCAAGUACAUCUACAAAAAUGUUUUAAACGGAGCAGGAGUUGGUAGCAAAAUUAAUUAAAAAAAAUAAAUAAAUAAAGACAAUUCAUCAUAUUUUCUUCAUAGGACAAAAAACUGUGUGUGUAACCAGCCUGCUUAUCUGCCAAGGACUGUUGUGGGUUGGCACAGCUCAGGGCAUUAUUGUCACCCUGCCGGUGCCCAGACUGGAGGGCAUUCCCAAAAUAACAGGAAAAGGCAUGACGUCACUUAACGCUCACAACGGCCCUGUUGAAUUCUUGGUUGCCACCUCCAGCAUUCUAUCCCAAGAUUUUCUAAAGCGGGAUUCUGCAAUGGAAGGUGGGGAUUCAAGCAGUGGCGCUGAAGAUAAGGAGGCGACAGAUUCUUUUCAGGAGUCCCUCCAGCAGGCGGAUGGCUCUCCUCAGGCAGAAGCUAAAGCUAAAGGAGUCCUACUGCAGUACCACCUCCGUUCUACCUCUCAGCUCCCAGGAAAGCUCCUGACGGCUCGGCCCGAAGAAACAUCCGACUCGACCCAGGACUCUCUGGAGCACACCCUAGAGGACGGUUCCAUCUAUGAGCUGAGUGAUGACCCUGAGGUUUGGGUCAAAGGGCCUGGGCCAUCAUCUAAAGAAGCGGGACGUAGGGAGAAAGUGACUUCAACCGCCGUUAUAUCCGGUGGAAAAGGGUUCCGUCGACUUGCUAAUUCCUCCAACUCUUCUGACUCCAACGAGAACAUGCUCAUGGUCUGGCAGCUGCCCAUUACAGUUUGAGGCAGUAAUGAAAUCUCCUUCCUUUGGCUUUCAUCA